rnacentral:rRNA from 1 species
UCGCCUGCAUGAAGUCGGAAUUGCUAGUAAUCGCAGAUCAGCAUGCUGCGGUGAAUACGUUCCCGGGCCUUAUACACACCGCCCGUCACACCAUGGGAGUCGGUAACACCCGAAGUCGGUAGUCUAACCGAAAGGAGGACGCCGCCGAAGGUGGGAUUGAUGACUGGGGUGAAGUCGUAACAAGGUAGC